GUCAGAUGAUUUGAAUUAACAGGCUGAUCCUCAGUGAGGCACAACAAUUAAAUAGCAUGUUAGAGUUCUGAUGGCA
ensembl:snoRNA SNORD28 Small nucleolar RNA SNORD28